CGGGCGGUAGGUGAGAUCUCUGGGAUGGGCUACUACCUCCACCACCGUCGGCUCCACAUGUGUGGGGGAUGCCUAUCUUCUGCGAAGGAGAUGACAAAGGAUGCAGAGGAGACAUGCUCCGUGGUGUGUUCUUGCUGCAAAGCUCUCAUACAGAUUUCUUUUUCAUGCGAGUUGAGAACACACAUACUAGGAGGGAAGAAGGUAUUUCACCGGCCAGUCCUUCCACAUUCGAGCCAUCCAUCCACCCAGUUAUGUAUCUAUCAGGCACCAGGACAAUGGACUUGACAAUGACACUAGCUCGGAUGGCGCCACUAAAGUGAUGAUGCUAAUGUACAGGAGGAGGGAUGUAAAAUUGCAGACAUUAGAACUUGGUCUCGCCAAAGCUCAUUUAGUGAUAAGGGAGACAAUCCAGACAAAUAAUGUGCUGGUUGGACCAGUGUAUUGGAAUGCCUAUGCAUUUCAGAGGUACGCAAAUCCUUUUGCAUAUAAAUACUUUGCCAUUAGGGUGUGAAAUUGCUAAACUGCCAUCUCUGUAGUUUUCGAGUAGUUAAAAUUCGAGCAUAUAAUCUUCUAUUAAUCAAGGUAUCCAUAUAUCUGACAAAUAAACCAUAGGGGCAGAUUCAAUCUGAUGACAUGCUCCUGUGUGAGACAGAAAAUUGGGCUUGGGGAGUUGUAGUUCAGUUACAUCAUGGGACAAAAAAAUAGUUGAGAGUAAAAGGAAAGAAAAAAUAGAAAGGGAGACGAUAAAAAAUGCAUGGUAGAGAAAAAAGUCCUCAUGCCAUCAUGUGAGCUUCAGCUCACCGCGUUGUAGCCGAAGCGGUUUCCUUUUAGUUCAGGUUCAAGCAGUUGCUGCCCUGCAGUCAUAUGCAUUGUCUUUUUAGAUACACCAUUCAUAUAGGGAAAGCUGGCAUUGCUACAUGGAAUAGUAAUGUGCAGAUUUAAUAGGCCAUGGGGAUUAUAACUAAUAGUUAGCUUUUGAGUUUAAAGAAGUAACAAAAGUUAAUAUGUUGACGGAAUAGGCCAUGUCAACUAGUCCCUCCUCCAAAAUAAGUGUCGUGGUUGGAGUAGUAACUAAUGUUGAUAAAGCGCCAUGAUGCUAUGAUAUUUAACAAUCAUUUGAAGUAAAUAUGCCAUGUUGAUAAGUAACUAUUGACAAAGCGCCACGAUGCUAUGACAUAUAACAAUAAUCUGCUCACUAAAUAUGCCAUGGUGAAUUGAUUAGUAAAAACAUUGAGCAAAUCUGUCCUAUUAUAAGCUAUUUAGAAUUGCAAUUCAUAUGUUCCUUUUAUAUGGUUUCUCGUCCAGAUUACAUGUGCAGGUUAAGUAAGCUGAGUAAUUUGGAUUCUAACUUACCUCGUCUAGCAACUGAAAAUUCUGCAAAUCAAAAGGAAGAGCUAAAGAAAACACAACGGAAAUUUUAGUUUCUGUACCAGUUUACUUAGCUCCUUCCAUGAUGAGUCCCCGUGUGAUUGCGGUGCUGUUGUAACAUUCCCAAAGAAUGCCAGGUCGCCCUGUAUAAAGUAGAUGGACAUGUACUUUCACUUGUUUGUGGAUUCCUUGAUUCUACUGGAUUUUAUUCUUGGUGCUUUGUUGCCAGUGGAUUUUGAACAAGAAGAUCUCUUUUAUGUCUUUUUAUAACUUAAUUAGGCCGAAUGUUUCUUGUACAAAGUAAUUGUUAGUACUACUUGUUAAUUGUUAUAUACAGGUAAAUAGUUGCUGGAGCCUGAGGUUCUUUAUUGAAUGAUUAUAAAUAUAAGAGAAUGAUGAAUUUGUUUUUGCA